AGAUUGAACGCUAGCGGGAUGCUUUACACAUGCAAGUCGAACGGCAGCGCGGACUUCGGUCUGGCGGCGAGUGGCGAACGGGUGAGUAAUAUAUCGGAACGUGCCCAGUAGCGGGGGAUAACUACGGCGAAAGCGUAGGCUAAUACCGCAUACGCCCUACGGGGGAAAGGGGGGGAUUACGUUCGGGAGUCCGUCUCACUACUUGGAGCGGCCGAUACUCAGAUUAGCUUGUUGGUGAGGUAAAGGCUCACCAAGGCCGCGAGUCUGUAGCUGGUUUGAGAGGACGACCAAGCCACACCUGGGACUGGAGACGACGGCCCAGACCUCCGUAACGGGGAGCAGGCAGGUGGGAAUUUGGAACAAGUGGGGGAAAACCCUGACUCCGAAGCCUAAGUCCCGCGUAGUCGACGA
rnacentral:rRNA from 1 species